GGACUUGCCAAGCGAAAGGUACAAGCCCUGCGCCAGGAUCUCCCCAGCGCCUCUCGUCCCUGCGGCUUAGUGAGCCGAGGGCGCCCGGCAUCGGCAGGACCCUGCCUCGUGGAGGUGGCACCUGGGCCAUCAGAAACCUUCCACCUGAUUCUACACGGGACCCCCAGGAGUUUGGUGGCGCUUUGACCAGAGAGACGCCGCAGGAACCUGGCCCUCGUUGACCUCAAUGACCUCUGGCCCAGCUGCGUCUGUGAUACGUCGUUUCACUUACAGUCAGUUUCCAAGGCCGAUCAAGAGUCACGACGCAUCUGUAGCACGAACAUCGCCUCCUCGUCCUUGAGCAGAGCUGACACACCUGGCAGUCCCGACGGCACCAGGAGAGGACAGACAGCUGCUGCCCGCUCCCCAGGAGGCCGCGCGGCUGGUGCCCAGGGCCUUACUCUGCACGCACUCCCUCUUCCCAGAGCAUCUUCUUAUCCUGGGAACGGCUUCCGGAGACUUCCUCCUCCAUCCUGCUCACCACAAGUGGGUGAGAUGUAACCACAGGCGCCAGGCCCAGAGCGGCGGGUGACGUCUCAGAUCACACAGCACGGCUCUGCUCAGGGAUGGAGGGUCUGUCCUGAAGACAGUGUUUCUCGUCCGCCAGAGCCUCCUGUUGAGGUGCGGUGUGUCAGCCUUCCCAGUGUGCUCAGGACCCCGAUUUCCAAUUCUAAGACUGGGUAUAGCCCGGCCGCAUGGCUCAGUGGUUGAGCAUCUACCUAUGAACCAGGAGGUCACAGUUUGAUUCCCGGUCAGGGCACAUGCCCGGGUUGUGGGCUCGAUCCCCAGUGUGGGGUGUGCAGGAGGCA